UACAGAGGGUGCGAGCGUUGUCCGGAAUCACUGGGCGUAAAGGGCGCGUAGGCGGCUCGGUAAGUAGGGGGUGAAAUCCUGCGGCUUAACCGCAGGGCUGCCUUCUAAACUGUCGAGCUUGAGCACGGUAGAGGCAGAUGGAAUUCCCGGUGUAGCGGUGGAAUGCGUAGAGAUCGGGAAGAACAUCAGUGGCGAAGGCGGUCUGCUGGGCCGUUGCUGACGCUGAGGCGCGACAGCGUGGGGAGCAAACAGG
rnacentral:rRNA from 1 species